AGGUCAGUAUGCCCUGAAUCCCCGGGGCCACACGCGGGCUACAAUGGCGCGGACAAUGGGUGGCGAACCCGAAAGGGGGAGCCAAUCCCUAAACCGCGCCUCAGUUGGGAUCGAGGGCUGCAAACCGUCCUCGUGAACCUGGAAUCCCUAGUAACCGCGCGUCAUCAUCGCGCGGUGAAUACGUCCCUGCUCCUUGCACACACUGCCCGUCGCUUCACCCGAGCUGGGUGGGGCUGAACCCCUCGUCCCUAGGGCGGGGGGUGAAGCCUCGCCUGGUGAGGGGGAAGAAGUCGUAACAAGGUGGCCGUACGGGAACGUGCGGCCGGAUCACCUCCUAAG
rnacentral:rRNA from 1 species